GAGAGAGACAUGCAGAGAAGGCAAUACAGAAUGAAUUGCAAAAAUGUUUAUCUCAAGGUAAGGCGGCGGAGAGAGCAUCUAUUGCUGGUUAAAAUACUUCAAAGCGUAGAUAAUCUAGUAAACAUUCAGCCAUCCCAUGAGAAAAAAAUAUUCAACGGAUACAUUUAUAAAUGUUACUUUUCUCUAAAAAAAAAAAAUAGAAAGAAAGAAAGAACAAGCAUAUCAAAAACAAAAAUUUGAGGGGGAAGAGAAAGGAAGCUCAGUUUUUAUGAUUUCAAAUCUUGACUGGAUGAUGGUGAUGAAGCCAUCAGUUUGGAGUUUAU
rnacentral:lncRNA from 1 species